rnacentral:rRNA from 1 species
AUUGAACGCUGGCGGCAGGCCUAACACAUGCAAGUCGAGCGGAUGACGAGAGCUUGCUCCUUGAUUCAGCGGCGGACGGGUGAGUAAUGCCUAGGAAUCUGCCUGGUAGUGGGGGACAACGUUUCGAAAGGAACGCUAAUACCGCAUACGUCCUACGGGAGAAAGCAGGGGACCUUCGGGCCUUGCGCUAUCAGAUGAGCCUAGGUCGGAUUAGCGAGUAGGUGAGGUAAUGGCUCACCUAGGCGACGAUCCGUAACUGGUCUGAGAGGAUGAUCAGUCACACUGGAACAGAGACACGGUCCAGACUCCUACGGGAGGCAGCAGUGGGGAAUAUUGGACAAUGGGCGAAAGCCUGAUCCAGCCAUGCCGCGUGUGUGAAGAAGGUCUUCGGAUUGUAAAGCACUUUAAGUUGGGAGGAAGGGUUGUACGUUAAUACCGUGCAAUUUUGACGUUACCGACAGAAUAAGCACCGGCUAACUCUGUGCCAGCAGCCGCCGUAACAC